CCUACGGGAGGCAGCAGCAAGGAAUCUUGGGCAAUGGGCGAAAGCCUGACCCAGCGACGCCGCGUGAGGGAUGACGGCCUUCGGGUUGUAAACCUCUUUUCUCAGGGAAGAAUAAUGACGGUACCUGAGGAAUAAGUCUCGGCUAACUCCGUGCCAGCAGCCGCGGUAAUACGGAGGGUGCAAGCGUUGUUCGGAAUUACUGGGCGUAAAGCGCGUGUAGGCGGUCGGGCAAGUCAGAUGUGAAAGCCUUCCGCUUAACGGAAGAAGUGCAUUUGAAACUACCCGGCUGGAGUACGGGAGAGGAGAGUGGAAUUCCCGGUGUAGAGGUGAAAUUCGUAGAUAUCGGGAGGAACACCAGUGGCGAAGGCGGCUCUCUGGUCCGAUACUGACGCUGAGACGCGAAAGCGUGGGGAGCAAACAGGAUUAGAUACCCUGGUAGUCCACGCCGUAAACGAUGGGCACUAGGUGUAGAAGGUAUUGACCCCUUCUGUGCCGCAGCCAACGCAUUAAGUGCCCCGCCUGGGGGAGUACGGCCGCAAGGUUAAAACUCAAAGGAAUUGACGG
rnacentral:rRNA from 1 species